GUGUAGCUCAGUGGUAGAGCAUUUGCCUAGCAUGCACAAUGGCCUGGGUUUGAUCCCCAGCAC
rnacentral:tRNA from 1 species